UGAUGCAGCCAUGCCGCGUGUGUGAAGAAGGCCUUCGGGUUGUAAAGCACUUUCAGUAGGGAGAAGGUAGUGUAGUUAACACCUGCACUAUUUGACGUUACCUACAGAAGAAGCACCGGCUAACUCCGUGCCAGCAGCCGCGGUAAUACGGAGGGUGCGAGCGUUAAUCGGAAUUACUGGGCGUAAAGCGCAUGCAGGCGGCCUGUUAAGUCAGAUGUGAAAGCCCGGGGCUUAACCUCGGAAUUGCAUUUGAAACUGGCAGGCUAGAGUCUUGUAGAGGGGGUAGAAUUUCAGGUGUAGCGGUGAAAUGCGUAGAGAUCUGAAGGAAUACCAGUGGCGAAGGCGGCCCCCUGGACAAAGACUGACGCUCAGAUGCGAAAGCGUGGGGAGCAAACAGGAUUAGAUACCCUGGUAG
rnacentral:rRNA from 1 species